CCUCAAAGCCUGGGCCUUGGGCCGACCAGGGAGUGGGCGUUACACAAGGAAGAGUCGGCCUCCAUCCACAGGGAACAACCUCCAGCAGUGGGCAUGGCUGUCCCAGCAGACAGGAGGCUCCUUGUCCCCAGAGCCUGACGGCCUAGGUGUCUGGGGGCAGAGAUAAAGGGGGAACCCCUGUCCUAACUGGAGAGAGAUUGCUCAGACCCUUCUGCUCAGACAUACUCAAAUCUCAGGGAGAAUUUCCUGAGCCUUGUGAAUGCUUUCUAAGGGAACUUAUGCAUUUUUAAAGGAUCAAAGUUUUGUGACAGGCCCUCCAGCGAGGGAGCCUGUCAUUCCAUGAACCAUAUGUCAAUAUCCUCAGGUCAUGGCUGCAGAGCCCUUGGGGGCGGGGGGGAAGUGGCAGCAGGUUGCAGAGCACCCAUACUGUCCUUGCAAAGGGCAUUUUGUCAGCUGUCCAGCCCAUGUAAACAUCAGGUUCUGAUGUAAACUCUCACAGCGUCCAGUGUCUCUCCAACUUUCCCCAAAACAUCUGAGUGGUUUCAGAAACUACCCUUGUGAUGCCUGACCCAGCCUCAACUUCCUCCAGAGACUGAGUGGGCUGGUGAGUAAACAGCAGCUUUCCCCGGCCUGCCUGCCAGCGGGUAAUUCCAACAGCCUCCUAGCUGCCUGGACUGUGCAUCCCGGGGCCACGGCAGACUUAGCAUCUGCCCAUACUCCUUUUCCAAGGCUGCUUGCUUACUGACUUGAGUCUGAGAGCCCCAAGGAGAGCAGGACACCGCAGCCCCAAGUCAGGCCACUCCAUCUUUACUGUGAAACACAAAACUCCUGAAGUCCAGAUUGAACCACAAAAUGUUCUUUGUUUUCCGGCAGAAUGGGAGAGACCAGGGAGCUUCUUGACAUCCACAGGGGCACACGCACCCAAAUUGCCUUUUGGGCUUCCCAGGUGGCUCAGGGGUAAAGAAUCCACAUCCUAAGGCAGGAGCUGCAGGAGAUGAGGGUUCAGUCCCUGGGUGGGGAAGAUCCCCUGGAGGAGGAAAUGGCAACCGACUCCAGUAGUCUUGCCUGGAGAAUCCCAUAGACAGAGGAGCCUGGUAGGGUCACACCUUGUGGAGUCCAUGGGAUUGCAAAGACUUGGACAUGACUGAGCACAAUCACCCA
rnacentral:lncRNA from 1 species